UAUUACGUCGUACACGACAGGGUCGUGGAGAAAAUUCUCUCUUAUCUCGGGAAUCGAUCGUGAUUUAGCAUUCGGCGCGAGUCGAGGCUAUCAGUCAAAACAUCCACGACUUGCUCUGUCGCUGUAGCCGAAUCGUGUAUAGUAUAACUUCAAUCAAACAAUAAUACAAUUAAGUCCAGAAAGAAAAGAAAAAGAUCUCAAAUGAAAAACCAAAAGGAGGAAAACCGGUUCAAGUGGAAUUGUAGUUUCCUGACACGACAAACAACAACAAAAGUUACUAGGAAACGACAACGAUAAUUGAUUCCGAUUUUUUCUACCUAACAACAAACUGUCAACUCGUCAAUCUAAUUCUACGCGUGUUUUGUUGUAGCUGGGCCCUUCUCGAACGCCGGAAUUACACGACACUCUCUCUCUCUCUCUAUUGUGAGUAGUACCGAAAUUUAUGAAUUUCCACAGCCGUGACGGAACGUGCUUUACCUGAAUAGGAAUAACUAUAAAAUCAAUCAAUCAAUUCUAUAUGUAGAAAUACGAUUGAAUAUGUUGAAAUCAAUAAUACGAGUCGCUCAACGAAUUACAAACAGAUUCCGAUUACGUUUAGCAUCAAGUAAAAAAAAAAAUUGAGGUCGUCUGCGCGUGAAGAAUCGUCAGAACAUAAAGAAAACGACCGUUGCACACAAUUCCACGCCAUAAAUCUAUUCUAUAGAAAGGUUUCCUUUUAUUAUUAUUAUUAUUAUUAUUAUUAUUUUUUUUCACCCAGGGCGUAUUAUCCGCCCGGCUUAGCAACCACUCUGAGAUUAGGAAGCCCUAAUACUGAUGAUAUUAUACGCAUUGCAUUAUAUCUAUAU